AAGGCUUUAAGUUAAUUAAACUAAUAACCUUCAAAGCUAUAAAUAAAGAAUUGUUCUUUAAGCCUUA
rnacentral:tRNA from 1 species